UCCCGUCUCUCACCAUUCAUCGUCUCUGGCUCUCAGAUCGGGGUGGUCUCUCACAGGCGAUCCUCAUGUUGCUGUCGGGGUGAGCGGUACUGCGGUAGGACGGCAGGGGCCAAGUAGGUAUGAGCUAGUCGUGUUGGUGUUGUUUGUUGUUGCUGUGCACGAUAUGUUGUUCUCGGCUGCAGGCAAGCGCGGACGGGAACUGAUGUGGCGGCGCGCGACCCAAGAGGGGAUCCGCCCUAACGGUGGUGUGGCCAGCAUGGGCGGCGACGGAGGGCACCUGGCUGGCGAGGGUAGGAGCGGCGGCGGCGGCGUUCGCUUCCAACCUUGAUCUCGUUGGGUACGGGGUUGUUCGGCGACGGGGGACCUGGGUAGCUAUUGGCCGCCGGAGCUAAGCGAGGAAAGAGAGGGCGGCGGCGGCGCAACUUCUCAUCUCCGGCAUAGGCCAUUGGGCAUGCGCCACUCUGAUUUUUGUUGCUGCAUCCAUUGCCACAUUUGUCAUGGGCCAAGCAGUACAGGCAAGAUACGUUCGAACCAUAUGAUGUUUCGUGGAACGGUAUUGUUGGCACUUUGGGCUACCUGGAUGUUGGCCAGAAGGGUUUGGAUGAAGAUAGGUUGUCACCGUGAACGAAUACGCAUGUGAACAAAAUGUUUGCUUUGUGACAUUUGCUCUUGUAUUAUUCAUGUUUUCUGGUGAUUUGGAAGUGCUGGUUUGGCAGCUAUUUGCUGGGCCAUUUGGAAACUUAGAAAUAGAGCCUGCUUUGAAAAAAAAAAAUCAGCUCUCCUUAUGACAUAAUCAGUUAUGCUGCUGUGUUUAUGAACUAUUGGUCAGGUCUACAUGGUGAUCAAGAUGCCUCUAAGCUCCGAGCUAGUGCCGAUGGUCUUCUACGCCUUGCUGCUGCGGCUGGAGCUGGAAACUCUCCCUCUAGAAGUACUGGACGUGUUGAUCAACUUCGCUUGGAAGACAAGAAACCUGAUGGCACACAUGAUGACACCACCUCCUGAUGUCGUGUUAAAGAUCGGCUUCGCCUGUUCUAGUUUCUGCUUUAUGAUGCUUCGUUCUUUUGUGUUGCCCUAUAUCCUCUUGCUGUUGGCAAGGGUUUUGCUAUGCUCAAAACUUAUUCUGGUUAUGUAAUAGCUUUUCUGAACGUUAGCAUUAGGCGGCGAUCUCUCCCCAUCCCUUUGCUUUUCCUUUAAGACAUAACUGUGAUGUAUUUUCGUUAUCUCCCCUGGUAAUGAAAAUUCGAUCCCCUGGUGGAUCGUUUGGAAAAAAAAAGACGGGAUUUGAACAA